rnacentral:rRNA from 1 species
UACGUAGGGUGCAAGCGUUGUCCGGAAUUAUUGGGCGUAAAGAGCUCGUAGGCGGUCUGUCGCGUCGGCUGUGAAAUCCCGGAGCUCAACUCCGGGCCUGCAGUCGAUACGGGCAGACUGGAGUUCGGCAGGGGAGACUGGAAUUCCUGGUGUAGCGGUGAAAUGCGCAGAUAUCAGGAGGAACACCGGUGGCGAAGGCGGUGGUCUGGGCCGGUACUGACGCUGAGGAGCGAAAGCGUGGGGAGCGAACAGG